rnacentral:rRNA from 1 species
AGAGUUUGAUCCUGGCUCAGGACGAACGCUGGCGGCGUGCCUAAUACAUGCAAGUCGAGCGGACCGACGGGAGGCUUGCUCCCUUAGGUCAGCGGCGGACGGGUGAGUAACACGUGGGUAACCUGCCUGUAAGACUGGGAUAACUCCGGGAAACCGGGGCUAAUACCGGAUGCUUGAUUGAACCGCAUGGUUCAAUCAUAAAAGGUGGCUUUUAGCUACCACUUACAGAUGGACCCGCGGCGCAUUAGCUAGUUGGUGAGGUAACGGCUCACCAAGGCGACGAUGCGUAGCCGACCUGAGAGGGCGACGGCCACACUGGGACUGAGACACGGCCCAGACUCCUACGGGAGGCAGCAGUAGGGAAUCUUCCGCAAUGGACGAAAGUCUGACGGAGCAACGCCGCGUGAGUGAUGAAGGUUUUCGGAUCGUAAAACUCUGUUGUUAGGGAAGAACAAGUACCGUUCGAAUAGGGCGGUACCUUGACGGUACCUAACCAGAAAGCCACGGCUAACUACGUGCCAGCAGCCGCGGUAAUACGUAGGUGGCAAGCGUUGUCCGGAAUUAU